UAAUAACCUUAAUCUGAAAUGUAAAUACAUAUGUAAAAUAAAUUACAUUGCGCGUGUCAUUCCCUUUCAACUCUGUCUCUCGCAAAAAUGAUCCUAAAAAUAAAUGCAUGUUGCUCCUGUCUCUCCUGUGACACCAGGGGUGGAGGAGGCCAUGGGCACGGAGAACAGCGGGGUGCUGUACGCUCUGUGGAGCUACCCGGCUCAGCUAGCCGAUGAGCUGAGCUUCAAAGAGGCCGACAUGGUCACCAUCCUGCAGAGACCUGAGGGGUCCGACUGGUGGUGGGCCUCGCUCUGCGGCAGGGAGGGCUUCGUUCCAAAUAACUACUUUGGGCUCUUCCCGAAGGUUCGACCUAAAUCUCUCUGCUAAGCUGACGACGGUCAAACUGGUGCAGAGGACUGUCUUGUAAAAAAUGAAGCUAACAGCGUCAGGAUGUGUGUGUGUGUGUGUGUGUGUGUGUGUGUGUGUGUGUGUGUGUGUGUGUGUGUGUGUGUGUGUGUGUGUGUGUGUGUGUGUGGGUGUGGUUACGGUUACGAAAGGAGAGAGGGAUGGUUUGGAUCCAUCAGUGGAGAAGAGUUGCAGGAGAAGUAUUUAUUCGGCCGUCACUGACCAAGAUGAAUCCGAGACAUUGUUUGUAUCCUCUCUGCUGUAGGAAAAUAAUUUCUAGUACAACUGUUAUUAUCCAAAUGUUAGAGAGCAGGCCAGAUUCCCUGCUGUCCCGCGUUGACAUUUCUGGCUCAUUGCCUGGUUGGGAAUAAGAAGGCAAACUGUUGAUGUUCUUUAGAGAGGUCAAUGUACGCUGUUAACAAGCCAUGGUGGCUCCAUUUAGAAAAGGGCUGCUUCUAACACAUUAACCUCCUCAUUCCUGGAGGAGAGUCGUCAAAGAAGCGUCAAACUGAAAAGUGAAAACGAUUCUGCUUAUUUUAUAAUAUUAUUAAAAUAUUUUCUGUGUACAUAUCAAUGUUUGUCCAAUGGAUCCAGAGAAAGAAAUCAAACCUGUGAAGAGUUUAAAGAGCGAUGUUUAGUUUUACAUUUUUUAAAUCAGCCACAGCAGUAACGUAACUUCCUUUUUUAUUUACUUAGUUCUCGUCGUGUACAUGAUUCUUAAUCCUGCCUUAAAUAAGCGUAUUUCUUUGGAAGAGAGAGAUGUUUUCUAUGACAUUAAAAGUGUUUUUUGUUUGGUGGAUGUGCGUGUUUUCAUAUUCACAGGGGUAGAAUGAAAUGAAUGUUUGUUGAUGCAUUUGUAUUUUUAUCAACACUUUUAGGGACUGCUGUAACCUGUAACCCCUCUCACGGGACACAAAACAAAAAAAAUACAAAAAGACAAAUAAAUAACUAUCUCAGAUC